UGAGCACCAAUUUCGUAUUGGAAGACUCUCCAUACAAGGGUUGUGGUUUUACUGUCAGCCCACGAUGGCGUCCAUGCAAGCUUUGUCUGAUGUGACUCAGAAAGCUUCAGCUAAUGAUUUUGCAGGUUCUGCAGUUCUUAAUCUCUUGCAGAGUCAGGCUAAAGCCAUGGCUGGCGACAAUGCAGUGAGGUCAUUACUGGAAAAGAUGACCCACUAUGCGAGUAAUGCAUAUCUGAGCAUAUUGGAAAGGUAUGCCUA